UUAAAUUGAAGAGUUUGAUCAUGGCUCAGAUUGAACGCUGGCGGCAGGCCUAACACAUGCAAGUCGAACGGUAACAGGAAGCAGCUUGCUGCUUUGCUGACGAGUGGCGGACGGGUGAGUAAUGUCUGGGAAACUGCCUGAUGGAGGGGGAUAACUACUGGAAACGGUGGCUAAUACCGCAUAACGUCGCAAGACCAAAGAGGGGGACCUUCGGGCCUCUUGCCAUCAGAUGUGCCCAGAUGGGAUUAGCUUGUUGGUGAGGUAACGGCUCACCAAGGCGACGAUCCCUAGCUGGUCUGAGAGGAUGACCAGCCACACUGGAACUGAGACACGGUCCAGACUCCUACGGGAGGCAGCAGUGGGGAAUAUUGCACAAUGGGCGCAAGCCUGAUGCAGCCAUGCCGCGUGUAUGAAGAAGGCCUUCGGGUUGUAAAGUACUUUCAGCGGGGAGGAAGGUGUUGUGGUUAAUAACCGCAGCAAUUGACGUUACCCGCAGAAGAAGCACCGGCUAACUCCGUGCCAGCAGCCGCGGUAAUACGGAGGGUGCAAGCGUUAAUCGGAAUUACUGGGCGUAAAGCGCACGCAGGCGGUCUGUCAAGUCGGAUGUGAAAUCCCCGGGCUCAACCUGGGAACUGCAUUCGAAACUGGCAGGCUUGAGUCUUGUAGAGGGGGGUAGAAUUCCAGGUGUAGCGGUGAAAUGCGUAGAGAUCUGGAGGAAUACCGGUGGCGAAGGCGGCCCCCUGGACAAAGACUGACGCUCAGGUGCGAAAGCGUGGGGAGCAAACAGGAUUAGAUACCCUGGUAGUCCACGCCGUAAACGAUGUCUACUUGGAGGUUGUGCCCUUGAGGCGUGGCUUCCGGAGCUAACGCGUUAAGUAGACCGCCUGGGGAGUACGGCCGCAAGGUUAAAACUCAAAUGAAUUGACGGGGGCCCGCACAAGCGGUGGAGCAUGUGGUUUAAUUCGAUGCAACGCGAAGAACCUUACCUGGUCUUGACAUCCACGGAAGUUUUCAGAGAUGAGAAUGUGCCUUCGGGAACCGUGAGACAGGUGCUGCAUGGCUGUCGUCAGCUCGUGUUGUGAAAUGUUGGGUUAAGUCCCGCAACGAGCGCAACCCUUAUCCUUUGUUGCCAGCGAUUCGGUCGGGAACUCAAAGGAGACUGCCAGUGAUAAACUGGAGGAAGGUGGGGAUGACGUCAAGUCAUCAUGGCCCUUACGACCAGGGCUACACACGUGCUACAAUGGCGCAUACAAAGAGAAGCGACCUCGCGAGAGCAAGCGGACCUCAUAAAGUGCGUCGUAGUCCGGAUUGGAGUCUGCAACUCGACUCCAUGAAGUCGGAAUCGCUAGUAAUCGUGGAUCAGAAUGCCACGGUGAAUACGUUCCCGGGCCUUGUACACACCGCCCGUCACACCAUGGGAGUGGGUUGCAAAAGAAGUAGGUAGCUUAACCUUCGGGAGGGCGCUUACCACUUUGUGAUUCAUGACUGGGGUGAAGUCGUAACAAGGUAACCGUAGGGGAACCUGCGGUUGGAUCACCUCCUUACCUUAAAGAA
rnacentral:rRNA from 2 species